GAACGUGUCCAGUAGGCGGGGGAUAACCUCUCGAAAGAGAGGCUAAUACCGCAUACGACCUACGGGUGAAAGAGGGGGAUCGCAAGACCUCUCACUAUUGGAGCGGCCGAUGUCGGAUUAGCUAGUUGGUGGGGUAAAAGCCUACCAAGGCUACGAUCCGUAGCUGGUCUGAGAGGACGACCAGCCACACUGGAACUGAGACACGGUCCAGACUCCUACGGGAGGCAGCAGUGGGGAAUUUUGGACAAUGGGCGCAAGCCUGAUCCAGCCAUGCCGCGUGGGUGAAGAAGGCCUUCGGGUUGUAAAGCCCUUUCGGCUGGGACGAAAAGGUCCGUAUUAACACCACGGAUCCAUGACGGUACCAGCAGAAGAAGCACCGGCUAACUACGUGCCAGCAGCCGCGGUAAUACGUAGGGUGCAGGCGUUAAUCGGAAUUACUGGGCGUAAAGCGUGCGCAGGCGGUCUUUUAAGUCAGAUGUGAAAUCCCCGGGCUUAACCUGGGAACUGCGUUUGAAACUGGAAGGCUAGAGUGUGGCAGAGGGGGGUGGAAUUCCACGUGUAGCAGUGAAAUGCGUAGAUAUGUGGAGGAACACCGAUGGCGAAGGCAGCCCCCUGGGCUAACACUGACGCUCAUGCACGAAAGCGUGGGGAGCAAACAGGAUUAGA
rnacentral:rRNA from 1 species